CCAGACUCCUACGGGAGGCAGCAGUGGGGAAUAUUGCACAAUGGGGGAAACCCUGAUGCAGCGACGCCGCGUGAGCGAUGAAGUAUUUCGGUAUGUAAAGCUUUAUCAGCAGGGAAGAAAAUGACGGUACCUGACUAAGAAGCCCCGGCUAACUACGUGCCAGCAGCCGCGGUAAUACGUAGGGGGCAAGCGUUAUCCGGAUUUACUGGGUGUAAAGGGAGCGUAGACGGCGGUGCAAGCCAGAUGUGAAAGCCCGGGGCUCAACCCCGGGACUGCAUUUGGAACUGUAAGGCUAGAGUGUCGGAGAGGCAGGCGGAAUUCCUAGUGUAGCGGUGAAAUGCGUAAAUAUUAGGAGGAACACCAGUGGCGAAGGCGGCUUACUGGGCUUUAACUGACGCUGAGGCUCGAAAGCGUGGGUAGCAAACAGGAUUAGAUACCCUGGUAC
rnacentral:rRNA from 1 species